UGAUGCAAAAUUGCCACCCUUAAAUCUUUUACUGAGUGGCCAGAGAGGUUGAAGUAUUCUCGUACCGGUUUUUGAAUGUUAUGAUUCCUGAUGUCAGAUUUUUAUCCAUUUAUUCUUUUGCGUAGAGACAAUCUGGUUUGGCCAACAACUUCUGUCUCCUCCCCUAGUUUUUAACUCCUUCCUGUGGGCCAAAACCUAAAGUAGGAUCCAUGCCUGCAUCUUUAGGAAAGAGAAGUACCUUUGACUUCUAGUAGCAUUCCUUACAAUCCACCACUAUUAUGGUCAUAUUUUUUUUUUCAAAUACUUAACUGUUUAAUCAUAUUUUUAUCUUUGUGUCUGACAGGUUGGCAGGAUUUGUGUAUUUUGUUAACAUAUUGAGCCAGAAAACAUCAGCUGUUCCUGGAGAGUUAUGGCAUGACAGCUGUCUUAGUGUGGUCCAAGGUGAAAGACAGUCAUUAUGUGGCACAAUACUUUAUUUUGAAUGCCUGUUUACAAAAGCAUAAGAAAUGCAUGAUAGAAAUGUCCUUUGUUUUGUUCUCUAUUUCUAGAAGGUUUGUGAAGCAGGAUGAUGUGGUAACAGUUGUUUGAUCAGAAUGUUGUCCUCAUGGAGUGAAGGCCAUUUGAGGUCUGAUGACUUGACUGUCCAAAGGAAAUUAGAUUAUUUUUUUUAAAGAUGGAAUCAGUUUUAAGAGUUUCUUUUAUAAAUGUUGACUCACUGAUGUGUGCAAUCAUGCCAUCGUGUGGUAAGCUAAACAAUGUGAGGCUGAGUCAUUGCUCUGCAGGAGACCUCCAAGGCACACCUGGAUGGGCUGCAAGACAUGGAGUUAAUGAUUCUGCAUGUGUUAUUCUUUCCUUUGAGUUAAUAUUAAACUAAUUCCACAGCGUGGUGUCAGGAGGGUCUGAGCUGCUCAAGACACUGUUUAAUUUGUGCAAGUGGUAGGACCUCAGUUUUAGAUCUCAUCUGAGAAAUCAAUCAAUGCACACGUUUUUGUUUGCAAGAGGAGGAUUCUGAGCCCUAGUGUUCUGGUCAAAUUACAACUCCAGCAAUUGCAUUCUGAGAAACCACAUUCCACCUGCAGAUUCAAUUGGAAAAAAUAUCCUUUAACUCUUGCCUUAAAUCAUUUUGUAGUGUUGUUGUAAACUGAUAGGGUAAAAUACUGUAAACCCUUAACUACAUUUCAGAGGUGGAUGAGAUUAUCCCUCUGGGUACCAUUUUAACUUUAUAAAGCAAUUUGCAAUGCAUCAGGAUUGAAGUGUGACUCUAAUGUUAGUUUAUUAUAAUUAGCUGAGCAGGUAGGCGCUUGAAGAUGCUGAGGCUUUUUUCAUGUGAAAAUACAAAUGCAGUUGCAUUCUCAAACCUUUCCUCACUGAUUUUUAUAGUAUGUCUGAUUGCCUCUUCCAACAACUCUAAGUCUAGUAAGACUUGAAAUAUUCUUGAAAGAUUCUUUCCAUUUUAGGUUUCAAAGAAAGUCUACUAAGAACUAGCUUUAAAUACCAAGAAUGCCCUCCUGCAAACCUGACAGUGCCGUUUUAAGGGCUUAGCUAGAAACAAAAAUUCAGAACAACUGCCUAGGUUUCUUGUCUGCAUCUGAGAGGGGAAUCUGAUGCUACCUGAAGUCCGCCAAAAUUACAUUUUCUGGAGCCAUCCAUGCUUAAGUUCACAAAUGCAAGUUGUAUAGCGUGCAUUCAGUACUUUCACUAAUGUUAAAAUUUGACCUGGAAUUUGACACUCUGUAUACAAUAAAAUAUAACUUAGCAUUUAAAACUAAAAAUAUGCGCCACAUAAUUGAUAUAGCUAGUGUCCUAAUGCUAAAGACAGUUGGAAAAGUAGCUUGGGAUUUGGCAGUGUGACUUGCUGAAAUCAAAGUGAUUUAAAUUGCCAAUUUUAAUCAUGAUUUGAAUUAGCAAUCGGGAAACUUUCAUUUAAAUCCUCGAUUUUAUUUGUACUUUUUAGUUACUUUCCUAAAAAAGGGUUGAUUCUCAUUGGGUGGUAACCAUUAAAACAUGUUGUUUGCAAUUAAAUAUAGCUUUUACACUAACUUUGGUGCUACUUUUUGGUUAACAAGGUUGAUAUACAGAUUUAAGCAAUUAUAUCUCUUAGAUUUAUUCAGUCUUAAUUUUUAAAUUUUUGAUUGUAAGAAAAUGGUGAAUGAUUCAUUUCUUAUUUACUAGAUAAUUAAUUUUCUACUUGUGAUUUGUGUCCAGCUCAAAAUGCAUAAAAUCGUUUCUGUUUUAAUCAAUUAAAACAAUCUUAAAUGUGCUGAUACAUAAUCUUUUUUCUUAUCAAAACAUGUUUGCCAUUUAAAACUAAAUUUUUUUUAAACAAAGGAAGCAUUAUCCAUAUUUAGUAAAUUGAACUGGUCACCAUGCUUUUCAAGAUUUCCAUAGAUGUCAUUUCUCAGGCCUCAUUUUGAUUUAUAGAUUGGAAGAGGAGAACAAGCAUUCUUGCUUUUUCAACUCCCAGUUGAUUUUUAAAGUUUGAAUGAACUAAUAAUUGAACUGAAUAGUUGAAUCAACUGAAAUGAAGGAAAUGUUCUCUCUGCACCUGCAGAAGAGGCUACUGCUGUCAAAAGCUGACUUAGCACUUCAACAGACUCUGGUUCCAGAUGCAAGUUGUGACGGUUCUAGGGGCACCCAGGCUUAAGAGUGACCUUGUUGUCACCACCCACCAGUGUGAGGGGGUUUUGCCUGUUCCAGCUGAGUGUUGGCUCCCUAACACAACCAGUCACUCAAGCACUCUCCUCUGGGCUAUACCAGCCCUGCCUUUUUCCUACAGGUUGACAACCAAGGUUUCCCAGUCCCGGAACCCCUUCAGUGUGUCCCCUUGUGAUGUGCAGCUUCCAAUCACUGGAGGGACCCAUAGAAAUUCCAGAUCCUAUAUUUCCAAAAAUCCCAGUUUUAUCUUAGACCACCACUCCUGCAUACAUCCAGCACUUAAGUUCAAUUAGUGUGUGUGUGGCUUAAAAAAAAAAGGGGGGGAGGGGGAAUUUUAUUGAAGAAAGAAUGGAGAUUCAAAACAAAUGUGAGUGAUAAAUACAAAUGGUUACAUACAGAACAAAAUAAUAUAUGAACUGGGUCCUAUAUGUAUUAACAGUUACCUUCCCUACCUAAUAAAGUAGAUUCUCAUCCCCAAAGUUCAGUCUUUUGCAGUGCUUGCUUGCUGUAAGGAGCUAGGACCCAGUGUUUCAUGAAGCACCCCCACUCAUGAAGGUAUUUCCUCAGUGAAUGGAUCUGUAGUGUCUUUCUCCAUCCUGCGAUACCCUGAAGUAGUUUUGUCUUUUAUUCAUGCAGAGGGAUCCCCCUCACUGUCAUGUCAUCCUUCUCACUUCCAAGUGGUGUUGAUGUUGAUAGUGUCUUUGCUGGUUUUCCAUUGACUUUUCUGGGUUGGUGCAAAGGUAAACAGUUGAGCAAUACAUUAGAUAAUUGGCUAGCCAGGGAGGGGGUGACAACUCAAAUGGGCCAUCAUUGAGCCAUUAUUCCUUGGUGACUCACCUUCACUCCAAGACCAUAAGGGCAUAAUUUUCAAUAUGGUUGCAUUAUUCCUUAAAUAUUGCUCAUACCUCUCACAAUGACUGAGUAUUGAUAAGGUACAACCUUUCAGUAGAGACCUCAUAUGCUGCCUUUUGUGGAUAAAUACCAUGAAAGUGAUGUAUUAGGUGUAGUGAGUUUGUCAGGUCUAAGACAGGAGUUGCUUGGAAAGAGUGGUGAACCCUUUGCCAGUUGUCACCAUGGGCCUCUGUGUCACCAGUGAUUUCUACUAGUUCAGUGGUUUGACUUUUUUUAAAGCUUGGCAGCAAAUGUAUUAUUUUUUGUAUUUAAUUUGUUGUUCAAAUAAAUUUAUAAUAAUUUUAGGCCUUAACAUGAGUUGAUGAUUUCAAAUUUAAUUUUAAAUAGGCUUAUUUUAAAGAUAGGCCUGUAUUUAAUUUAAAUUUUUUUUAAAAUCAGAUUUUUUUUUUAUUUUUAUGUACUAAUUUAUUUAAAUCAUUCAUUUUUAUCCACCCUGCGACUGGGAAGGGCUUAGCAGAAGAUUUUCAGGUGGCUUUAAAAAAAAAAAAUGAAAUUUCUCACCUCACUACAGUACCUUGAAUUUUUGUUUAGUGUGUACCAAUAUGUACAUUUUGUCUACUUAAUCUGUAUUUGUAUUGCCUACUCCUGUAGAUUUCUUAAAGAUGUAUUACAAAAUUUUGGAAUUAAAACUGUUUAGGUUAUGCAAUGCAUUAAUGCAAUGAAGUUUUUACCUCUGAAGAACUGGAUUUAUAUCUGGGUUAGAUUUUAUCCUAGGUGUCAUGUCUUCUCUCCCCCCCCCCCAUGAACAACGUUACAUUUUAAUACUACUUUUUUUUUUGCUACUAAACCAUAUGGCUCUCCUAUGCUGAAAGUGCCUGGCCUCCCAAUCACAUAUAAUGCCUCUUCUUUUUUUUUUUUCUUUUUUUUUUCCUUUUCUUUAAAAAAAAAAAAUCUUAUGAUUCUCAACUUUUUUGCAGCAAAUUGGCAGAUGUAGGUAGGAGCAGUGUUCCUCAUGCCAGCAAGUUGUCAUCUCUUCUUUCCCCUGUUUCUGUUUCUGUUCCUGUUUUCUUGGUUCCCUUUUUUCCUUGUCUGUCUGCCUCUUGUUUGUUUGUUUGUUUUCCCUUCUAGGCUGCUCAGAAGGUAUGUGCUAUUCAAGGUGGGAGCUGUCACUUGUUGGUUAAGAGAGGCCAGCUACAUUUGUUUUCUCAAAUGCUGAUCUGAGUGGUAGAGGAAGAAAGAGAAGCUUGGGCAGAGGGGCUUCAGUCUUGCACACCUGGUCUUCUCCCAAGGCAGGCUGCAUUAGUGGCAUCUGCAGGAAGAGAGGAAGAACAAGUGGCUUUAAGGGAGCCACCAAGACAGCUGGUC